UACGAAGGGGGCUAGCGUUGUUCGGAAUUACUGGGCGUAAAGGGCGCGUAGGCGGCUUAUCAAGUCAGGCGUGAAAGCCCCGGGCUUAACCUGGGAACUGCGCUUGAGACUGGUAGGCUAGAGUACCGGAGAGGUAGGUGGAAUUCCCAGUGUAGAGGUGAAAUUCGUAGAUAUUGGGAAGAACACCAGUGGCGAAUGCGGCCUACUGGACGGUAACUGACGCUGAGGCGCGAAAGCGUGGGGAGCAAACAGG
rnacentral:rRNA from 1 species